rnacentral:piRNA from 2 species
CGCAUCGACCUGGUAUUGCAGUACUU